UUGCUAAGCUUAGGGGGGGAUCUGUGCUGAACACUCUUUCCUGGAUGCCAGAGUGACUCGGGACUCUGUGGCUGAUAGGAAGCUGACUCACCCAGCAGCAGCAGAUGCCGGCUGGAUAGAGUCAGUAAUGCAGGGUCAGGCCACUGCUGAGUGUGAAUUGUGGAGGGUUUGUUUAUGUGCCCGAGAGGUUCAGAGCGGGGAGUGAGGAUGUGCUGUGGAGACCCCGGUUCAUUAGGUGUUUUUUUUUCCCCUCUUAUUUAAUUAUUAGUUUAUUUGACAUGGACAACAAUACAUACAGGCAUCGUUACGUCUAAUUAAAGUGCAACCCAUGCAGCGCAUGAGGGACUUCAAGCUGUGCUGAUUCUCAGUCAGGCUUCUAGAAAUGACGCACAUGAAGCAAAGACGAGCAGACGGAUUCACCUGCGAGAAGAAACGCUAAAAGGAAUUUAUGAAAUAUGAAAGUUCGUGAGCUGGGACAUCUUUAUUUUCAUCUUUAUUUUGAGCUGACAGUCACAUUUUUAAAGAUCGGGGCAUCAAAUUUGGUGAGAGUUCUAAUUUAACUUUAUAUUUUAAAAAAAACAACUAAAUAAAAACUCCAUGUCACUUUGUAGUUUUUCUGCUCCAAUAGACUCAGCUGUUUAGAACACUUUAUGAAUAACUAUGACAUGUUGCACAAAAACUGGCAUAAAAAGGGUGAUACAUCGAAUUCUUUAUUCAUUACUUUUUUCAGUGGUUAGGGCGGAAGUUGUUUAAGAGAUUUGAGUCAAAAAAAGCAAGAAAAAAUGUUGAAAAAUGAUUAUUUUAUUAACUUAUUUGCAUGUCUGUUUUGGGGACAAAGUUGGCUGAUGGAGCUUCAAAUGAACAGGAACCGCAGAUUCGCCAAUCUUGUAACCUGAAUAUCUUCAAAACAAACAUGUUAGUAAGAUAUUGAUGUAAAAACAGGCUUACAGUACACAUCAAACCCUCAGAGGUAAAACUCUUCCCUCCACAGAGAGAAAUCUCACUCCAGUGAUGAAACACGUCUCCCCCGUCACCUUCUUUAUUUGUUUCAUUCCCCUAAAAAUGUCAUUUUAUUAUCGUAUAGCGCGCACAUAAACACUGAAUUCCAUGAAAACACAUCCCAGCUUACCCUGAGAAACCCCGCUGACACACAUCGGAUGAAAGAAUAAAUCCCUUUGGGUAAAAUUGGAUUUUCACGAUGGAACAAGCAGGAUCAUCUGAACCUAUUGUUUCGCCUAUCUGUGAAUUUGUGACGAUCUGUGAAGGAAGGAAAUCAGAGCUCAAUGGACGUGAAUGCAGUCAAUAUGUUCAGUGUUUACAGGGGCGGAUUUCAUGCCAGGCGGAAAUAUGAUUUCUGUUCAACACACUGAAUGAGACACAAACAGGCUGCUUUUAUCUGCAGCAACCCAACAGUUGGUCUGAAAUUGUGGUGGUAUCCAGAUCGUUUUACUCACGAUGAUGGUUCAGACGCAAAAAAUGGGUUUGAAAACAGACACUGGUGUGAAAUAGGAGUCGUAUUUUACAUGCUCAGUCAUCAUGCAGUCAGUUUCACAAUAUAGACAUUUUAAAUAAAAAGUCCUGUAUGAACUGGUGUUCAGGAAGUGUCAUUACACAAAAAUCUCCUACUGCUGACUCUUUACAGUCAAAAUCUUUUUAAUUAUUGUGAAUAUUUUGUGAGGAAAUUGUGAAACAAAUCAGAAGCUGCUUAGCUGACGCUUACCUCCUCCGACCCUUUUCAGGCAUUUUAAAUUAAGACAUGAAAAUCACCAAUCUUCUCGCUCUUGUUUACUUUAGGAUAUCAUGAAAAGGCAUCAACAUGAUUUUCAGUCUAUUUAAAGACAUAAAAAAAACUUCUUUUUGGAGCUGUAACGUGUUAAAUGAAGGUUUAAAAAAUCAUUCCAGUUAUGUCACGUCAUGGUUGACGAUUGGGGAGAUUGGUAAUUAUUAUGAACCUCGUUUCUAUGGCGAUCAUGGUCCUAUAGUGCGAUCUCCGUACAGUGAAGAGAAAAAAGAACGGAAAAAUUCUGUUCACCCUAUCAGGUGCAGGGCUGUAAAAACAUUGACCAAUGGGAGCCAUCCGUCCCAGACAGCUCCUAUUGGUCAAUCUCCAAUCACCUCGCUGUAUUCGACACACCCUUCUCCUGUAGUUCCGACUCGUCCCCUCCCACUCUCCUGACUAAAAGUAGUGUAGCAGCUUAGCUACAGGAGCUGUGAUGGAAUGGGACGCAAAAAAAAACACUUCUGCUUGAACCCACCGCCAAAGGUGGGAAGAAAACGCAAGCCGACAGAAGAAAGAAUGGAGAAACAGAGGAAAUGUGACCAAGCGAGGAAUCUAAUGUGAAUAAACAUCUGGUCCUCCUUGAAACGGUGGAGAAAGCUCCACCAGGAUUUGGUCCUGAAAACAGACGCCGAGACAGCAGAGUUUUUGUUGAUCAGGUCAUUUUUAUCUCCUUUUAUCGUGGCUCAUGUUUCAUAAAUAACUCUUAUUAGUCUCUGACAUGUCAACACGGUAGCUGUCCAGGCAGCUGCAGACGGCGCUCGCUAGCAGAGCUGGCGUUUACUGCUGCUAGUCACUAACAAUCCGACAUGGUGGAUCCUAUUUGAAGCUAGCGUAGGAUCUUCUUGCUCUGCCAGAGGGGGUGUGUCAUGGGGAGGGCGAUACAGGUUCAGGGGGGGGGGACGCUUUUUUCAAAUCUGCCUCAACAGCUCAGUUUUUUCCAACUGCUUCUCAGAUCGUCAACCAGGACUUUAAAGUUCAGAAUUUGCUGUCAGAAAUUGAAAUUUAAACAGUAAAUUCCAAAUUGUUUUAAAACUCAAAAUUCUUUUUUUAGACUCAAAAUUCUGACAUUUUUGUAGUUCUAGAAUUCUGACAUCACAGGCAGAAUUCUGAAGUCAAAUUAGAAUUCUGAGAUCAAGGGCUCGACAAAAGCGUUGCCUCUGUUCUAGUAACAGUGUUUCGAUACUUGUGAGGACCUGGGUAAUCAUAAUGUACGACCCUGACCCCGACCAUCUAACCCUCCAACAUUUACCCCAAUCUGAACCUACACCUCAUUUAUACCUUGACCUUAAAACCAAGUGUGCUCCACAGACAGAAGAGGCGCUCAUGUUCAGUUAUGUUCACACAGACCUACGAUUACCCCACCACCAUUCUUAUGUGAUGUGAUGCACUGCAAUACAUUCACUUUCCAAUUAAGAGUGAAUCGCUCUCAUGGCGGCUACAUAAACUAAUGUGUUUGGAGACCAGCGGCGGUCUGACAGCAGCAGUGGAGGGCAGGUCACUUUAAAUCUCUGUGUUAGCAUUUAGCUACCUGAAGAGUAUGUCAAGAAAAUGAGGAAGCUUACAUUUAACGUCGCCCCUCAUUUUUCCACGUUGUUCCGAUGUGGCGUGUUUUAAAAUCUGGACCAAAUAGAAGAUACUGUACCUCGCUCAGGAUGGGAAACCCAGCAGGUUUUAGUGCUCGUAUGACUCACCCAAUGAAACUUUGAUAUGAUUAACUCAUCCGUCAUGAUGUCAUGGAGUGGGCCACUGAAUUUACUCACCUUAAGAGCCUGAGCGCCAUAAAAAUCCACAGGCCUCGCCGUGCUGCACGCACACAUUACACACAUGGACGGACGCGCAAAUGCAUGCAGCACUGCAUUCAUGGUAUUCAUCGAGCACAGAAAUCUGAAUUUAGGACCAAAGAGGAACACAUGAGAGAGGCUGCAUGAUGAUGUCACCCCGCACACUUAAUUUCCAGUGGCUUUAAAUCCACUCCAGGCCGAGUGGAAAUGACUGAACAUGGAGGAGCAUAAGUGGCUUUGUCAAAUUGGAGCAGGGAGCAAUAUGAGCAGAACAACACUCCACUAAACAAUAUCUGGCACUCCAGAAUUAUUACAGUAAUGCGCCUGUAAAAAGCCACUAGAUAUUACCUGCUUAUUUCAGUGUGUCUGCGGGGUGACAGAUAGCAGGCUCUAUUCAGCCGCCGCGGAACCACCAGGACUCCAUAAAAAGAGCGGCAGAUGGGUAGUUAAAAAGGCGCCGUGUGGGGAAAAUUUCCACCCUUUGUUUAUGAUCAAGAAGGUUUCAUAAAGACAUUUUUCAAAAUAACGCCGCUGUCGGGGAACGCUCUCAAAACUUAUCUGUGGAAAAAGUGGAACUGACCUUGAGAGGGAAAAUGUAAACGAAGGCUGGUUUGUUAGGGUCAAGUGAUCCGAUCCGUCCAACGCCAUCCUGGAGGUGAACAAAUGAGUCACAUCUUUUGCCAAACUUCAUGAUAUAGUUCCACUGAUUUCUCAUAUUUUAUACAUACUAUUUGUAAUCCUGUUAGCUUUCCACAGGGAUUAGCAUUAAAGGGAUAUUCCAGCGUAAAAUUAAGUUAGGGUCAAACACACUGUAACACCGAGUUAGACCCCCCCUCCAGAGAUGAAUGUUGCCGACCGCUUGCUUCUCUAGUUAUACCAACUUUAAUAACGACUGCAUGAUAGUAAUACAGAGAGCCACACACUCAACCAAAACGCCACUCUAUAACCACAAAUAAUGCUCAGAACAGCACCUAACUUCAUCAACAGGAGAUAUAGGGUCACAGACAUAGUACUAUAUUCAGAGUUGUUCUAACUCUAACUAAGAAAACAGAAACUUAAGCAGGGGCGUUUCUUCACUUCUGUAGUCAAAAAGCUGGGCCAAGAAACUUCUACUGUUGUAAAAUAAAAAGGUAAAGGUGUUUUUUUUUUUAGCAGAAUUAUCAAUAAAAUCAUGAUUUUGUUAACAAGUAUGGAUAUAUGUGCUGUUGAGUUAAUACAUUUGAACAAGAACACAGUGAAGUUAAAUCAGCUAAUUUUCCAAUGAGGUUCUGUUACUAAACGGAACUACACCAUGAUCUACUGAGGUUAGUACAUAUAGGGUCCCAGCCAUAGUACUAGACACCAAACAUCUUUUUAACUUUGACUCAUUUCUUUAGCAAAGAGACUAAACACAACUCACCUACUCUCUUCCAGCAGCUGUUUGUUUGUAGUGAGACCUCAGGCCAGUCCAUUACGGACUACAGCGGGGUGACGCAGCUCAAGGAAGAACAUUUAUGAUCAUUACUUUAUCAUUUCCUUGAAGUAAUAAUCAUAUUAAUCAUUUUUCUCUGCAGACGCGGUAGUUCUUCUGCCUAAGCGUCUUGCUCUGAUUGUAUUUCCAUAAAGAAAUGAUGAGCCAAUAGAGUGGCGUUUUGGUUGAGGUUUGUUUAUGGCUCCUUUUGAAGCCUCCUGGCAGAAGUCAAUGUCUUUUUUGGAACAAUUAAUAAUUUGUUUUGACAUUUUGGCGUAAAUAUUUCAUUACUGCCGUCUUGUAUUAAUCUUAACUGCGUUUUUUUAAACAUGAGUAAUGCUGCUCCUCUUGUGAGUCACGAAUGAUAUCAUGGAAAAACAAAUGGACAUUAAAGGACGUCUUAAACUGUCAUAUUCCUCUCUGCUUUUACCCUAUUACACACUGAGAUGAUAUUAUUGAGUGAUGCUUUAACCGAUAAUCUCAUCUCGGGGGUUGAUUGGAGAAGAAAAAGGGCCGAGUGCGUCUACCUCCACUUUAACAAAGGACAUAAAAAGUGGGUCAUGUAAUCACGCCACUUGAUCCAGCUGAAGGCCUGAUUUAAUACGUUCUGCUGGUUAUCGACAAAGUGUAAUAUGAUCAUCAGAAAUUCUACAUGCUGCAACGUCUGCGAAAUCUCAUUACUGUCUCGUGUUUCGCCCGGCCUUCCCUCCUCCCCCGCUGAAAGACCAACGCAAAAGGGUAAUGCCAAUAAGAAUGAGAUAAAUUGGAUGGUAAAAAGAAGAAAAAUCCAUGCGUCCAUUAACUCAGAGGAGGAGGGGUGGGUGGGUAUUUUUUUAAAUCUUGGUAUAGUGUGGGUGCUGAGCAAGGCUGCAGGGUCAUUAUCUGUAUCCUGCCUGAGCUAAUUUACUCUCCGCUCACAUUGGCGAGCUGCAGCCUCUGCACUGCCAUUCACAAAGGUCACAGUCACAUGACCUGGUGGAGGCUGCUGGACUUCACUGCCUCAGAGCUGUGUGUUCGGGUCAACGACGACAAACUUUUACAGGCUGUUUAACCGACAUUUAUGAUUGUUGUUUCCAUCGUUAAAACCUCAUCACAUAUUAAAGCCUUCUCUCAGUACAUCAGAGUCUAUCAAACCAACGAGACUCUGAGAUGAGCUGAACAGGGUCGAGUUUCUGCUACUGAAUAUUUAACCCCCAGUUUCCACCGCAUCCUGAACGGCUACGAAAAGGCCGUAUCCGCCGAUCGUAACCGUUCAAGUUAAUGGACUCAAUCCACGAUUCUUAAAGAUAAAAAAAGCUCUUUUUACGGAUGGAGGGGAGCUCUCUGAAUUCAUUUCUAACAAAAGUAUCUCAGGAGUAUUCGUGGACUUGACCUGUUUACCUUCUUUAAAAUGGAAUCUAAUGUCUUCGACACUCGUGUUGAAGCUAAGCUAAAUCUAACCACCAAUUUCCACCUCAUCUGGAAUGGCUAUGAAAAGGUCGUAUCCUCCGAUCUUAGCUGAUCGUUACCAUUUAAGUUAACGUGUCAAUUUCCACCGACUUCUUUUCGUUCCUCUGCGGAUCGCCGGACUCCUCAGCUGAUCGCAAGAGUUCUAUUUUUCUGGACGCCAGAGCAUGCCAGAUAAAUUCAGCACAGAUUAACCCGUGCUGGAAAGGAAGUCGGGCACAGACACAAAAUAAAACAUCCGGCUUCUUUUCAAAAUAAAACACUCCGUGUUUCAGGAGGAUCGUAUUUCACACCAUGCAAACGGGCGGAGACGAACAAGUGAAAGGUUUUUAGACGUCGUUUCACCCCGAUGACACCAUGGAUGAGGAGAUGCUGAUUCAGCCUAUGUGGCUAAAGACAACUCGUUAUCAUGCGAUUGUACGUGAAUCCGUGAGUUCUCAUGUGAUCUCCUGAUUCCUGCUGCUAAUCUGCCACCAAAUUCGCCUCACAAACAUAUCCGGUAGAGAUGGCGUACGGCGAAAAUCGCAGCUGUUCCAGAUCGGAGUUGUUCCGGAUGCGGUGGAAAUCCCGGGUCACGCUGUCUCUCUACAAAGCCGCAUUCUAGAUGUCCAUUCUUUGACACUGUAGAAACGCGUCUUUAUUGUCUUCACCUUCUCAUCUCAGCUCUACCUGAGGGUCCAAAUGUGCUGAAAACCAGAAUGAGAUUGAUUUCCUGGAUCACUGACAGUACAAACAACCAAUCGCCAUGAGGUCGAAGGUCAGAGCCGGGGCACCAGGGUGAUAUCGGACAAAUCCUCUUGUCCAGGGAUUGAUUAGUCUCUGGGUUGAUGUAUAAAACUCCUCAUUAAAACAAAACAACUCCUACAUGAACAUAAAUAAACGUCAUUUUCCUCAUAUUUGAACCCGUUUUAAUUGAGAAUGAGCUUUUUCACGGUUGCUACAGUAACUCCAACUCUGGUUCUGCUCUGAUAUCCAAUAAUAACCAAUUCAAAAAGGACAUAAUCAAAGCACAUAACCUUAAAUUAAACCUGCACUCAGCAGCAUUUCUAAAAGGCGUGCACACCUUCUGGAGAGACACUUAAUCCCACUUGUAUUUGAAGAAAAACUUUGCAGUAAUUUGUUUGUUUUUGUUAUUUGAGUGUAUUUAACGUUUCUCGAGGGUUGUUCAUCAGUAAACAGCUUCUGUAAAUCUACCUUGAUUGCAUAAAACCGCACAGAAAAGUAAUUACACACUCACAUACUUCUCUUAUUAGGUUUUUUUCAGCAGAACUGAGCCACCGGAUAUAAUUAUAAAGCUUCAUAAAGAAACAGUAAACCUUUUGUAAUAUCAGCAGGGAUGUGACAAACACCAUCUCGGUGCUCACAGAGCAGAGAUAUUCAGGAACACGGAGAGACGGUCUGCAGACGUGUGAGGUGAGAGCAUGCAGAGCGAUGUCCACAGAGCGUCUUUUACCUCUGGCUCUCGCUGAUAUGACUCCCCUGACAACAGCAAUGAAAGUGGGCCACGGUGAGCAAACAGAUCAGCCUACAUCAAACAUCCCCUCAUAUAUUACAGACAUAAAAAGUCAUUAUCCUCAGUGGAAAUCGAUAGCCGGCGUGGUCAAGAUGAAGAGACCCCCGUCUGGUUUUCGGGGUCAGCUUACGAAGGAGCGCAGCAGCAAAUGAUAUCAUUUUUCUAUCAUUAACUGGCCCCCAGGUCGAUGGCCGUGUUUAAAACCGAGGGAUAACGUUACUUAUAAUGCCUGAUAAUGAAUGGCGUGCCGGUCGGGAUGUGCUCAACAUUGAUUGAACAUGUGGACCGGCCGGAGGAGCAGAGGGGCUCAAUAAAAAAGGGGCUGAGGUUUCUACGCCAGUGUUUCCAUAGCAUAGCUGCAAUAUUGAGGUGUGGACAGAGCUUCUAAAGCGUGCAUGGCUUUAUUUGGAGAUCUUAUUAAAGGUCUCUGUUAUUGUUUGUCCAGACUAGCUGUGUUUGUCUGCAGUCUAGCUGCUGCGGCGGCGGCGGUGGCCCCGGACUUCCAAUGGGGAUCAAAACAUCAGUUUCUGUCUUUAUUGUGGAGCUGCUGGAUCCCAGAGGGGCUCUCUGGACCUGCUGGUGUAUUAGUGGUCAAAAAAAAAACAUGGUUACUUAUACCAGGACUGUUUUUGAUACUGAUGCUGAUUUAUUAUUUAAUCACACAAGCAAUUUUCCAAAACUAACUCCUACAAAGAGAACCAAAAUGUUCACUUUAUGUGAGACUUCAUGUGUCAGCUCUCAGUGUGGAUUUUUUCAUGAAGGUAUUGGGUAUAUGUGAAGGUUCUUAAAGCUUUUAAUAUCAGUCAAUAGUUAUUGAUGAUAUUUGGUAAUAUAACGACAUCUCUGUGUUCUCUUUUGUCCGUGUUGUCAACACAGGUGGAAUAACGGGCGCUUAAAACGGAGGUAGACCGGACAAGAGCUAAAAAGCCGGGUCAACAUAAACGAUGGGGGACGCUUGGGGAUCUUGGUGACCCUGUAACCUUUCUGCUGGACAGGUAAACCGCUUUAACAAAGUAAGACAAGUGUCUGUAACAGAAGUGUUUCUUGUCAAACGGACCUGCUGUAGCGUGUUGUAGCGCCAUCGCUAAACUGUCCUCCCUCGGGUCCUGGACUAUGUCACUUUAUCCUCGUUGUAGAAGUCCUGCAAACAUUGUGUUUGCUGGUAGUCUGUUGGCAUCUACAGUAGCACCAAUGCUUUUGACUUUCACCUUGACUGGGCCCCAUUUGUAAUGAUCUGAAGUAUUUAUCUGCAUUAUAUCUGAAUUUAACUGGAACGAUACGAGCGAGCAGGAGCGUCUGUUUGUGGGCGGGGCUUGAGGGGAGAGAGAGGAGCUGAGGGGAAAACUGGUUGUGAGGGGUAGAGUUUACAUUCAAGAUUUCUCCUAAAAACUGGAACUAACUCAGAUCCUGACUACACCACCUUUAAAGAUUAGUGCAGAGAGCCAAACGUUCACCCAUCCAGAAGUUUCUUGGUCAGUAAGAUUUUAGGUAUAUGUGAAGGUUUUGGUCUUUAACGUCUAAAGAGGCGCAAUAAUGUAAAAAGACCAAUGAUGAAAAUGAACAGUCGGUUCUGAUCCGGAGCUAAACUCAUGACAUUACUAUUUAUUUUCCUUUUUUUUUUAACCAAUCAUUUAACGGCAACAAGUGUGCCAGAACAAAUCCUCCCUGUUUGAUGUUUCUCGCCUGGUGCAUGCUGGGAAGAAGUCGGUCUUAUGGUCUAUUAUAGGGAGCCAAAUUUGGCGAUUAAUCAGCGUCAAUUUCACCAUCUGUAAAAUACAACUUCACAGACAAGUAACAGAACGAACUUCACAGCUGGAUGGGAUUAUAUAAUGUUUUUUCUUUUGGGUUUCUGAUAUUAAAGAUCCAAAUUACUGACUGAUCACAUGAUGUGUCUCUGCGCUGUGGAGCACUUCAGGGUGUUUCUCUAAAUAAAGCAGAUGGAUGACCAUAGAGAGGGGGAAUUCCACCAACUUUACAUAACCGGCUCUUUUUAUAGUGCUGCUCAGUGUGUGAGGAAACAUGUGUGAGGAGGUGGACAAAGUCUGAUCAAUGUUGUCAGUCUUUGAGGUCUGCACCGCUUUGGCAAAACAACAAAAACGUUGAGAAGUGAAGUGAGUUUUGCCUACUUUGGGUCGAAGCUCUGUGUUGGAAGAAUUGUUUAGUGGAAGUUGUUUUUUUUGGAAACAGUCUAAAUGCAAACUGCUUCCAGAUUAAGUGAUUUUAGUUCUUGUUAGACAGUCACUCAUCUGGGUCUGUGUUCACGAGCAGCGUUUUGUGCGCCUGCAGAGCCCAUGACCUCGGUUUUAAAGAGCUUCUUACCAAAACUUAAUCUCCACCGAGUUAAAAAACUUGUCUUUUGGCGCUCCUACUUCCUUUAACGCUCGUUAAGUUUGUUUGAUGAAACUUUACAAAGAAAUGUAGAAACUAUUGAACUCUUGUAAAGUGGAGUUAAUUUUUAUCUGGACUUUAUCAGAAAUGUUGAUUCAUGGAAUUUGAAACGCGAUUAACUGCAUUCUGACUUGAAAUUCAGCGAUGACACCUUCUGACACUAAGGACAAGAUAAACUGUCACAGAGGGGAGGGAAGGCGGGGUUUAAAUGCACCAGGGCGGUGGAGUUAACAAGACACAGGUGAGACUCAUCAGGGAAAUCAGGGGGUUACACAGGGAGGAGGAAGUCAAUGAACCUGGAACAAGAGACGAGGGUGAGUAUCAAAAUAAAACAGGAAACACAAGACGAGAAACAUGAGGGAUGGAAAAAAACAACUUAAAUAAUCAGGAGAUGUGACAAGUUGGUUUUAUAUUUCGAUUGUGUUUCUAAAAUAAUGGAAAAAAGGUCACAUCAGGCUUGUUUGAUGACUGUAUUCCCUCCGUUUUCACAAUAAAAUGAGUUUGGUCAUCAGAAGAAGUACAUCUGAACGGCUUUCAUUGUGUUUUGUCUCAUUCAUUGAGAUUUUAAAAGCUUCCUGCAUGUAUCAAGGUUUUUUUUUUUUAGAAACAAAUGUAUAAAAACUUAUUAAAUAUCUUUUUUUAAAUGUACAUUUUACUCUCAUUUGGAAAAUAGGAGGAAGAAUUAGAAGCCAAUCCAGCUGCAAACACUGUGGGUGAUACAGAAGAGAGAGAUUGUUUCUGAGGAAUCAGGAAAAUGACAUUUUCUCUCAUUGUUCUUUUCAUAAUGAGCUGAAAAAUAAUCUUCACAGUAAAUUGACUUUCAUUUCUUCUCAAUUAAACCGUCGUGAAAAAAACUUGAAAGAUGCUUCACUCUAAAGUGGCACAAUGAAUCUGCAAAACAAAAGCAAUUCCAAAAAGAGGCUGCCGCCUGUAAUUGGACUGUACAAAACCAACAUUUAUCUGAGCUAAUAUUGUUGCUCUCCUGAUCCGAAACGCAUUAAAUCAUCAACGCUGUCUUUAAACUAACUUUCACGUGUAGAUCAGCACGAAAGAGAGGCGACGCCAUUGUACCGCUCCAUGUGCUGAAAACAGGAAAACACACAAAACAUCAUAAGGCUCUUCUUUUUGUUACACACACACAGACACACAAGCCUGUGGCUGGUGCAUCGGCUGACACAAGAGGCCUAUAUCCGGCCUGCGUUUUGACACAAAGCAUCCAUUGCUUUAGUGAAACCGUUCAAAGGGGGCAGAGGGGGAAAAAAAAAAAACAAGCCGGAGAAUGACUUAGCGCAAAGACACGAGGCGACAUGCACUCACUGCUCCAUUCUGGUUCAGUGUGUAUCAUCCACAAAAUCACCCCGAGCGAGCGAGCGCCGCUGAAAGAGAGAAAGAAAGCGUUGGCUCGUGAAGAUGUAUUUCAUCAAAAUUGCAUGGUUUCAGCCCCUGUUUUGCCACUUUAGACACUUUUGUUUGGCGUUUGAAGGACGAGGAGUUUAACCCACUCAGUCCUGCACAGAUGAGAGCACAUACAGCCCCGAGACAUCGAAUAAAAGCUCUUCUUUCAGCAGAUGUUCUCUUGUUGUGGAGGAUACGCAGCAAGGUUAAACCAACAGAAAUGAAAGUGGCAGGAAGAAAACAAACUUAGAGACAACGAAACAGCAGCUGUUUCAGUCCACUUACACCUGAACUGGGUCCAGGUCGAUCCUCUGAGCCCAGUUCACUUCAUUCUUGCUACUUUGAAUAGUAAACUGCUGCCUGUCGGGUUUAUCAAUACUACGAUUAUGAAGUAGAGUUGGUAUUAAAGGAGUAAGAUUCUACAACUGACACCAAAGGAGAACGUUUCUGGAAUAAAACACUUCCUCACCAGUCUCUCGUAUCACAGAGGCAACGGAGGCCAUUAAAGUCAUGGUUGACGAUUGGAGAGAUCAGUAAUUAUUAUUAUGAACCUCGUUUCUAUGGCGAUCAUGGUCCUAUAGUGCGAUCUCCACAAAAUGAAGAGAAAAAAGAACUGAAAAAAUCUGUUCACUCUAACAGGUGCAGGGCUGCAAAAACAUUGACCAAUGGGAGCCAUCCGUCCCAGACAGCUCCUAUUGGUCAGUCUCCAAUCACCUCGCUGUAAUCGACACACCCCUCUCCCGUAGUUGCGACUCGUCCCCUCCCACUCUCCCGUAGCCUGGCUGGGUCAUCCUGCUGCGUGAAUCACUUGCCGUUCCUUCCCACAACAGUCUGGACUUCGGCCCAUUGGGAGCGUGUAUUAGCGAUCAGAAAAUAACCGGGCCAAUCAGAGACCGUGUUUCCAUUGUUACCCGGACAACAGGGAAAGGCAGCCCCUGAUUGGUCCAUGUGUAGAUGGUGACGUCUAACACAUGCUGCGGGACUUUUCAAAGUGCCGUUCAUUCAGAACGCUGGCAGAAAUCGUUUAUAUCCGCAGAAGACGUCAGAUUUGAACGAUUUCUGCCGACUUUGCAAAGUCAGCAGAGUUUUUGUUGAACAGGUCAUUUUUAUCGCCUUUUAUCGUGGCACAUGUUAGCUGUCCAGGCAGCUGCAGACGGCGCUAGCUAGCAGAGCUGGCGUUUACUGCCGCUAGUCACUAACAAUCCGACAUGGUGGAUCCUAUUUGAAGCUAGCGUAGGAUCUUCUGUCAGAGGGGGUGUGUCGUGGGGAGGGCGAUACAGGUUCAGGGGGCAGAGUUAUGGUGGAGCGCAGAGGGGAGAGGUUAGUGUGUGGGGGGUGGGACGCUUUUUUCAAAUCUGUCUCAACGGCUCAGUUUUUUUCAAGAUCGUCAACCAGGACUUUAAGAAUAGAAACAAUUUUAACACGAUAAAGACGUCAUCAUCCAUAACAGAUACAAGUAAUUCAACUGUUUCAAACAGUGUUGCCGACUCCUCAAUAAAGAAAGUCGCUAAUGGCUGUCCUAGAAGUCGAGAGAUGAAACUAUCGCCUAAUUUUUUUGCUGUUAUUUUUCCGUCUUUCUGCCUAAUAUGGUAUUGACUCUAAAAGAUCCUCUGGUACUUUGACUAAUGACCAGAUAUCAGCGAGAGUAAACACAUGUUUAUUGUUUUUAUCUUCAUUAUGUGUUCAGUCCAUCCUUCAUUUCUACUGAUCAACAAAAGGCCGGGGUGGGAUGUCGAAAGGCUCAGCAGGUCUGUUGGACUCUUCUCCACCUAAUGAUGUUCUCAGAGUCCUUCCAGGUGAUCCGUGUUUUUCACCUGACGUCUGGACAACCAUCAAAGAAAAGCACUUGGGGGGGGGGGGGGAGAACCGGAUCAAGUGCUCAAACCGCCUGAGUCGGCUGUUUCCGAUCCAAAAGUAGCAGCCGCUCUUGUUUGUGGUCCGGUAGGACGUCUGAACGUCCUUUACUAUCUGUAAGCAGAUUAAAUGUGUGUAUCUGGUAACUUAUGAUUCUGAUGUGCAGCCAAUAGCCUGUUUUUAAAAUAUAUGAUUAUUUUUAUUAUUAUUAACAUGGAAAAUGGAGGAGACCUGCACCCUCUCAUUAAUACACUUCUGUUGGUGAGCUCAAACCUUAGCCGAACAAGCAACAAGCGAAACGAGAGCCCUGCACUCACACGCCAGAGAUCCAGUCUAUCAUGGUCAAUGAGGGGAUUUCACACCUUUGUAGAAAUAUCUGUCACUUCACAGGUUUGAUGGUCUAUGAUGUACUGAAUUUAAUGCGUCACAUGAUGCACCAAAGCUUUGAUUUGACCGCGUGAACCCGAUCGGACAAAGACCGAAGAGUUUGUUCAAACGGCGCCCACACGUAUGACGAGAAAACAUCCUCACGAAGCUGAAAUCUGAGUCCUGCCAACGCCGUCCAGCUCCAGUUUUCAUCUUUCUGUCCUUCUCUAUUUUCACUGAAUCUGUUUCACACACACACAGUAACACAGUCACACACACACACACACUCACACAGACGGUCACACCACGCUGAAAGUAGAAAGAAUCCAUUUAACAGUCCUGUGUCUCACACACAGAUUGUUUUGUCUGUGCGUGUCAUCCAGUUCAGAGGGCGCAUUCUUACAGAGACACAGCCAGACUUCACAGCAGCCCUCCUCCUCCUCCUCUUCUUCACACAUCCUCCUCUUCUCUCCUCCAUUCCUUUCUUUAUUUAUCAUUUUCAUUCAUUUUCUCACUCCUGCAGCUGAACAACUUUACAAAUGUCUCUUAAAGAUUUCUUCAGACCUCUUCGUCUCAUGUCCUCUCAGAAACAGGGUUGAGAUUUUAAUCUGAUCAGUUUCAUCACUAUCCGGUUACAGUUCAGCUUCUCAAUCCUUCGUCUUAUCAAUUCUUGACUCUGACUUGUUUCCUUUUAUUGAUUCGAACCUUUACUUUGGUAUAGUUGAAGAAGUAAAUACAGAACUCUACUCUGCUGGGUCAAACACACGUGAAAUCUAAAGAUAUUCUGGUAAAUAAGAAGGUUUGGAUCAUGAAUUUUGCUCACUGGUGACUGAACAGAGGUGAAAGAGUUUUAUCGCCUUUGCCACAAAUAUCCACAAAAAGCUUUUCUUUUUUUUUACAGAUGGAGAGAGCUCUCUGAACUAGUUUCUAACUUUGUCUUAAGCUAAGUCUUACCCCCAAUUUCCACCGCAUCUGGAACAGCUACGAAAAGACCGUUUUCGACCAUUGUAACCAUUCAAGUUAACGUGUCGAUUUCCACCGACUUCUUUCCGUUCCUCUGCCGAUCGCUGGACUCCUCAGCUGAUCACAAGAGUUCUAUUAUUUCUGGACGCCGGAGCAUGGCGGAUAGAUUCAGCACAGAUUAACCCGUGCUGGAAAGGAAGUCGGGCACAGACACAAAAUAAAACAUCCGACUUCUUUUCAAAAUAAAACACUCCGUGUUUCAGGAGGAUCGUAUUUCACACCAUGCAAACGGGCGGAGACGAACAAGUGAAAGGUUUUUAGACGUCAUUUCACCCCGAUGACACCAUGGAUGAGGAGAUGCUGAUUCUAGAAGUCUAGAAGUAGAUUUCCUCCUCUGGAAGGACACAAUCUACUGCUUAUAUGGUUAGCCUCUGUGGCUAAAGACAACUCGUUAUCGUAUGAUU